rnacentral:rRNA from 1 species
UUUGAAAUCUGGCACCUUCGGUGUCCGAGUUGUAAUUUGAAGAAGGUAACUUUGGAGUUGGCUCUUGUCUAUGUUCCUUGGAACAGGACGUCACAGAGGGUGAGAAUCCCGUGCGAUGAGAUGUCCAACUCUAUGUAAAGUGCUUUCGAAGAGUCGAGUUGUUUGGGAAUGCAGCUCUAAGUGGGUGGUAAAUUCCAUCUAAAGCUAAAUAUUGGCGAGAGACCGAUAGCGAACAAGUACAGUGAUGGAAAGAUGAAAAGAACUUUGAAAAGAGAGUGAAAAAGUACGUGAAAUUGUUGAAAGGGAAGGGUUUGAGAUCAGACUUGGUAUUUUGUAUGUCUUGCUUUCGGGUGGGGCCUCUGCAGUUUACUGGGCCAGCAUCGGUUUGGACGGUAGGAUAAUGACAUUGGAAUGUGGCACUACUUCGGUGGUGUGUUAUAGACUUUGUUGAUACUGCCUGUCUAGACCGAGGACUGCGUCUUUGACUAGGAUGCUGGCAUAAUGAUCCUAAACCGCCC